AUUGAACGCUGGCGGCAUGCUUUACACAUGCAAGUCGAACGGUAACAGGGAGCUUGCUCCGCUGACGAGUGGCGAACGGGUGAGUAAUGCAUCGGAACAUGCCCAGUCAUGGGGGAUAACUACGCGAAAGCGUAGCUAAUACCGCAUACGCCCUGAGGGGGAAAGUGGGGGAUCUUAGGACCUCACGUGAUUGGAGUGGCCGAUGUCAGAUUAGCUAGUUGGUGGGGUAAAGGCCUACCAAGGCGACGAUCCGUAGCUGGUCUGAGAGGAUGAUCAGCCACACUGGGACUGAGACACGGCCCAGACUCCUACGGGAGGCAGCAGUGGGGAAUUUUGGACAAUGGGCGAAAGCCUGAUCCAGCCAUGCCGCGUGAGUGAAGAAGGCCUUCGGGUUGUAAAGCUCUUUCAGGUGGAAAGAAAGCGGAUGGGCUAAUACCCUGUUCGGAUGACGAUACCACCAGAAGAAGCACCGGCUAACUACGUG
rnacentral:rRNA from 1 species